GACAGCAGCCGCCGCGGGAAUACGUAGGUGGCAAGCGUUGUCCGGAAUUAUUGGGCGGAAAGGGCUCGCAGGCGGUUUCUUAAGUCUGAUGUGAAAGCCCCCGGCUCAACCGGGGAGGGUCAUUGGAAACUGGGAAACUUGAGUGCAGAAGAGGAGAGUGGAAUUCCACGUGUAGCGGUGAAAUGCGUAGAGAUGUGGAGGAACACCAGUGGCGAAGGCGACUCUCUGGUCUGUAACUGACGCUGAGGAGCGAAAGCGUGGGGAGCGAACAGGAUUAGAUACCCCCGUAGUCCCUGUCUCUUAUAC
rnacentral:rRNA from 1 species